AGCUCGGUAGCUUAGAUGAUAAAGCACUCGUCUUGUAUACAAUAGUCAUGGGUACGAAUCUCAGCUGAGCAC
rnacentral:tRNA from 1 species